GCUGCCGUGACCGCUGCCGCGCCCGCCCCGCUCCGCCAUUUUGAACGCCACCCGCUCCCUCCCUCACCCCGGCCUCAUCGGCAUGCAAAUCCUUGCAGUGACCUUCCUUGGCUCUGAAUUCCCAGAGAAUUGGCUGCUCGGGCGUGCUGUUAUUUCUGUCUCACAUUGAGAGAGCUGGGCUUUGAUAUUCCCGAGCUAUGGAAAACAGCACUGCAGAGGUCCAGAUGGACGCAGAACCGGGGGAAUUCGGUGCCAAAUCUGAAUAUCUCUGCUUUCACUGGAAUCUGUCUCAUGUCAGUUGACCACUGGGAAACCAGCUGUAAAAACUACUUAAAAAUAAAAUGACUUUGGAUUGAUUAA